rnacentral:lncRNA from 1 species
AGCAAGCGAGGGGGAAAGACCGGACCGCUCCGACCCACCCCCUCCCUACCCCCACCUCCCACCUUAAAGCACCUUAUACCACGGAAGGCUCUCAGCCUCUUCUUUCCUCUGCGAACGCGCUGAGCAGCGAUUGAAAACGUUUUGGUCCUCUGCAGGGGCGCAUUCUGGGGUCUCUGCGCAAGACCAGCUCUCAGCUCUCUCUCCUUUCCUCGGACUCUGGAGCGGGAGCGGGCCUUUCCCUCGGGUCGACCACGCCGUAGGGGACGCCGUGAAAAGAGCCGUCGCGCCCGCUGCCUCCUGCCCGCUGCGCAGAGGGCUCCGCCCGUAGAGGUCAACUUCCCUCACCCUUUUCUCUCUCCUGCUUGCCCUCCCUCCGCCCGGCCCAGGCGCUUCCAGCCCCAGACUGUGGCCACUGGCUGAGGAGUGCGAGUCGGCUGCGCUGCCCUGAGCCUAAUCCCUCUUCCGGGCCCAGACCCGAGGUCCGCGCUCCUGGGCAGUGGGGAAGCUUUAGUGAGCAGGCUUUUCUCUCCGCAGCAAACUUGUAGCCAGACCAGAUGGGCCGCCCAGCUCUCUCGGGACUAGGCAGGUGCGGAUGAGUUAAUUUUUCCGCAUUACAAAGAAAGAUGACCCAGCCCGCCCUUGGACUCUCUUUUCCCAAAAUCUCCCAACCAAACCCGCGGUAACGUUAUCAAAGGACACAGAGCCCAGGCAUAUCUGUGUGUUUAUCUUACAGGCACACACGCAUGGUUUUCUCUUUUAUAUGCUAGAUUUCAUCCCUGACAGCAGAAAAUGAUUGGCAAUGGUUAUGACGGAGAACAUGCAAUAGCGUGGUCCUUAAAAACCUGCCAUUCCUUACAAGUGCCUUAGAAAGGAUUCAGGGCGAACCAACUGGGUUAAUUGCAUUCAGUAAAAUAACACGAUUACAAAAUUA